rnacentral:rRNA from 1 species
AUGAGGAGGUUUUUGGUUCCUAGAGCAAGUAUUGAGAAUGCAAGUGACGUGCAGCCGGAAUCAGAACAAGACCCUCCUAUUCAUGUUGCUAACAAUAAUGAGUUUAAUCUGGACGAAAUUCAAUCUGAUCCCGCACUGAGAAAACAAAUUGCUGAAUAUGCACCACAAAUUCAAGACCAAGUUAGGAGGGCAUACAUAUUAAAGGAUCGAACCAAACUAGAAUUUCGCCGAACGGAUUCAAGAGCAGUUUCUAAGUAAUGGUAUGAAAAGUAUAACUGGAUAGAAUAUAGCGAGUCCGAGGAUGCAGCUUUUUGUUUCUAUUGUUUCUUGUUCAAGAAACCUAGAAGGGCUGAACACUUCGGGUUUGAAGUCUUCACCAAAACAAGUUUUAGGGACUGGAAACAUGCAUAUAGAGCCUUACCUGAGCAUGUAGGUGGUCUGAAUAGUGGUCACAACAAUUGUGUUCGGCAUUAUGAUGAUUUCAAAAAUCAAAGACAAAAGUGUGUAAGGUAUCUCAUAGCACAAGGUUUGUCAUUCCAUGGCCAUGAUGAAUCUACUACUUCACUGAACAAGGGAAACUUUCUAGAGAUGAUAGAUUGGUUAAAGGAUAGCAAUGAAGAAGUAAGAGAUGCUUUUGAUUGUGGUGGACAAAACUGCAAGAUGACUUCCGGUGAAAUACAAAAGGACCUUGCAAGGUGUUGUGUAGAAGAAGUCACCGAAGUGAUUAUGGGGGAGCUUGGUGAUAAAAAGUUCCCUGUUCUUAUUGAUGAGUCACGUGAUAUAUCUGUGAAAGAACAAAUGGCAGUAAUGUUGAGGUAUGUGAAUGAAGGGAAGGUUGUGGAACGAUUUCUAUGUCUGCACCACAUCAAAGAUACUACAUCCGAGUCACUGAAGUUAGCUCUUGUAAAGCUUCUUGAUCAUUACAAAUUACCAAUUUCAAGGCUACGAGGGCAAGGAUAUGACGGUGCUUCAAACAUGAGAGGUUAAUUUAACGGUUUGCAAAGAAAAAUUCUCGACGAAAACCCUCAUGCUUUCUACGUCCAUUGCUUUUCCCAUAGAUUACAGUUGGUUGUGGUUGUUGUUGCUAGUUCUUCUUGCUCAUAUAUUCAUGAUUUUUUUGAGUACAUAUCAUUGAUUGUGACCACAACAACUUCAUCUUGCAAGAAGAUGGAAGUGUUGGUGGAAGAAUCUCACAAUGAUAUUUUGGAAAGGCUUGAGAGGGGUGAGAUUAGAGGCUUGAAUCAACAGACUAGUCUUGCUAGACCUGAUGGGCGUAAUCCGAGCCACGCUACGGGUUGCAUAGAAAAAAUGGAGUGCUUCAAAUUUUCUCUCGUUUUGAAGUUUAUGCUAAAGUUGUUUGGUAUAACAAAUGAGCUCUCACAACUUUUGCAAAGAAGGGAUACAAAUAUUGUGCUUGCCUUGGAAUUAAUUCAUGAUGUUAAACUCCGGUUGGCUACCAUGAGAGAUAGUGGUUGGGAGAGUAUUUUUGAUGAGGUUAAACAAUUCUGCAAUUCCAAAGGUAUUCCAGUGCCAAAUAUGGAUGAUGAAAUACCAAUUCGAGGUCGCUCGAGGCUAGAGGGAAGGACUAUCACUAAUCUUCAUUAUUAGCGAGCUGAGAUUUUCUAUGUCGUUAUUGACAAAAUAUGUGUUGAGAUGAAUCAUCGCUUAAGUGACUCAAACCAAGAGGUAAUUGCAUGUUUCUCGUGUCUUGAUCCCAAGAAUUCUUUCUCCAAGUUUGAUGUACAGAAGCUUUCUUGGCUUGCUGAAAUAUAUAGUGCCGAUUUCUCAAAUAGUGAUCGUACAAUAUUGAGGGACCAACUUGAGACUUUUGUUCUUCAUUUGAGAAAUCAUGCUGCAUUUUCUACUUGCAAAGAUGUUGAAAGUUUAGCUACAAAAAUGGUUGAAACAGAGAAACAUUUGGUCUUUCCAUUGGUUUACAAGCUCAUUGAGUUAGCUUUGCUACUGCCGGUGCCCACGGCAUCUGUUGAGAGAUCUUUGUCGGCAAUGAAAAUUAUCAAGUCUAAACUGCGCAGCACGAUCAAUGAUGAUUGGUUUAAUCACUUAAUGAUAUGCUACACUGAACGUGAAAUAUUUAAAUCACUUGAUGAUGAAGUUAUCACUCGAAGGUUUCAGGCCAUGAAGGCUCGAAAAGGGAUUUUACCAAGGCAUAAUUAG